rnacentral:rRNA from 1 species
GAUGAACGCUGGCGGCGUGCCUAAUACAUGCAAGUCGAGCGAACAGACGAGGAGCUUGCUCCUCUGACGUUAGCGGCGGACGGGUGAGUAACACGUGGAUAACCUACCUAUAAGACUGGGAUAACUUCGGGAAACCGGAGCUAAUACCGGAUAAUAUAUUGAACCGCAUGGUUCAAUAGUGAAAGACGGUUUUGCUGUCACUUAUAGAUGGAUCCGCGCCGCAUUCACUAGUUGGUAAGGUAGCGGCUUACCAAGGCAACGAUUGUUACCCGACCUGAGAGGGUGACCGCCCACACGGGAACUGAGACACGUUCGCGACUCCGGCGGUGGGCAGCAGUAGAGAAUCUUCCGCGAGGGGCGAGAGGCUGACAUAGCAACGCGGGGUGAGUGAUGAAGGACUUCGGAUCGUAAAACUCUGUUAGUAGGGGAGAAGAAAUGUGUUAGUAACUAUGCACGUCUUGACGGUACCUAGUCAGAAAGCCACGGCUAACUACGUG